GAUUGCCUCAGUAACGGCGAGUGAAGCGGCAACAGCUCAAAUUUGAAAUCUGCCGCAAGGCCGAGUUGUAAUUUGUAGAGGAUGCUUCUGGGCAGCGGCCGGUCUAAGUUCCUUGGAACAGGACGUCAUAGAGGGUGAGAAUCCCGUAUGCGACCGGUUGGCACCCGUCACGUAGCUCCUUCGACGAGUCGAGUUGUUUGGGAAUGCAGCUCUAAAUGGGUGGUAAAUUCCAUCUAA
rnacentral:rRNA from 1 species